AGUGAACGCUGGCGGCGUGCCUAAUACAUGCAAGUCGAACGAAGUGGCGCACGGGUGAGUAAUAUAUAGUUAAUCUGCCCUUCACAGAGGAACAACAGUUGGAAACGACUGCUAAUACCUCAUAGUGUAGGAUGGGACUAUAUCGUAUCAGCUAGUUGGUAAGGUAAUGGCUUACCAUGGUUAUGACGCGUAACUGGUCUGAGAGGAUGAUCAGUGACAUUGGAGCUGGGACACGGUCCGAAAUGCGCCGGGAGGAGGCAGUAAGGAAUAUCGGUGCCUGGGGUAGACCCUGACGAAGCAACGCCGCUUGGGGGAUGACGCUUUUCGGAGCGUAGAGUCCUGAUAUCAGGAAAGCGGUACCUGAUGGAUAGGCCCCGGAUAACUCCGUACCAGCAGCCGCGGUAAUAC
rnacentral:rRNA from 1 species